rnacentral:tRNA from 1 species
CAUUAAGAAGCUAACAGGACUAAGCAUUAGCCUUUUAAGCUAAACUACGGUGAUUUCCUACCACCCUUAAUGA